UAGGGAAUCUUCCACAAUGGACGCAAGUCUGAUGGAGCAACGCCGCGUGAGUGAAGAAGGUUUUCGGAUCGUAAAGCUCUGUUGUUGGUGAAGAAGGAUAGAGGCAGUAACUGGUCUUUAUUUGACGGUAAUCAACCAGAAAGUCACGGCUAACUACGUGCCAGCAGCCGCGGUAAUACGUAGGUGGCAAGCGUUGUCCGGAUUUAUUGGGCGUAAAGCGAGCGCAGGCGGAAUGAUAAGUCUGAUGUGAAAGCCCACGGCUCAACCGUGGAACUGCAUCGGAAACUGUCAUUCUUGAGUGCAGACGAGGAGAGUGGAAUUCCAUGUGUAGCGGUGGAAUGCGUAGAUAUAUGGAAGAACACCAGUGGCGAAGGCGGCUCUCUGGUCUGCAACUGACGCUGAGGCUCGAAAGCAUGGGUAGCGAACAGG
rnacentral:rRNA from 1 species